CCAGACUCCUACGGGAGGCAGCAGUGAGGAAUAUUGAUCAAUGGGCGGGAGCCUGAACCAGCCAAGUCGCGUGAGGGAUGACGGCCCUAUGGGUUGUAAACCUCUUUUGCCGGGGAGCAAAGUGCCGCACGUGUGCGGUUUGGAGAGUACCCGGAGAAAAAGCAUCGGCUAACUACGUGCCAGCAGCCGCGGUAAUACGUAGGGAGCGAGCGUUGUCCGGAAUUACUGGGUGUAAAGGGAGCGUAGGCGGGAUUGCAAGUUGGAUGUGAAAACUGCGGGCUCAACCCGGAGCGUGCAUUCAAAACUGCGAUUCUUGAGUGAAGUAGAGGCAAGCGGAAUUCCUAGUGUAGCGGUGAAAUGCGUAGAUAUUAGGAGGAACACCAGUGGCGAAGGCGGCUUGCUGGGCUUUUACUGACGCUGAGGCUCGAAAGUGUGGGGAGCAAACAGGAUUAGAUACCCUGGUAC
rnacentral:rRNA from 1 species